GUAAAGAAACCGACUGGAUUGUUCACCCACUAAUAGGGAGUGUGAGCUGGGUUCAGACCAUCGUGAGACAGGUUAGUUUGACCUUACUGUGGACUAACUGUUCCGAUAGUAAUCCUGCUUAUUACGAGAGGAACAGCAGGUUCAGACAUUUGGUUCAUUGACUUGACCGAUCGGUCAAUGGUUCGGUAGCUAACAUCUGGGGUGGUAGUAGUUUGGUCGAAAGUGGAAAUUAAUAGAUAACUUCAAGUGGCAUCUAAGUCCGACUUAACAUUCCUGAUUUGGAGGAAAUUAGCGGGUAAUCGUCACUCAUAUAACACGAAAUAUUAAGUUCACACUCGCUUUCAUGGGGAACUGAUUACUCGGCCGCUGGCCUACAAUCUGACAUCACAACCUUUGAACCACAGUGCACACGUUUCUGUUAUUAAACGAUGUUCAUCAUUAACCAUAGGGUUAUAUAGAACAAUGCAAAAACCCAUAACAUCACGGGAAUCGAACCUUUGACUACGCUCGCAUAA
rnacentral:rRNA from 1 species